rnacentral:tRNA from 30 species
UGGGGUAUCGCCAAGCGGUAAGGCACCGGUUUUUGAUACCGGCAUUCCCUGGUUCGAAUCCAGGUACCC